GAUGAAGAACGCAGCGAAAUGCGAUAAGUAGUGUGAAUUGCAGAAUUCAGUGAAUCAUCGAAUCUUUGAACGCACAUUGCGCCCCUUGGUAUCCCGAGGGGCAUGCCUGUUCGAGCGUCAUUUCACCACUCAAGCCUGGCUUGGUGUUGGGCGACGUCCCCUUUGGGGACGCGCCUCGAAACGCUCGGCGGCGUGGCACCGGCUUUAAGCGUAGCAGAAUCUUUCGCUUUGGAAGUCGGGGCCCCGUCUGCCGGAAGACCUACCCGCAAGGUUGACCUCGGAUCAGGCAGGGAUACCCGCUGAACUUAAGCAUAUCAAUAAGCGGAGGA
rnacentral:misc_RNA from 1 species